rnacentral:lncRNA from 1 species
UUUAUUUACAUCUAGAGCCGCCAUGAACAACUGGGUUUUGAUUAGAUAAUGUUUAGCCUUCGGUACUUGCUUGUAAACGCGCGUGCUGAUCCAGCCGCCCGUCUUCUUGUUUUCGAAACCCCACUUCAUUAGAGAUUGAGUUUGAAACCUUCAUUUACAUCUAGUAAUUUAGUACUUGUUCUACUUGUUCUUGCUGGUUCUUCGAUUGCUUGCAGGACGAGUGCCCUAGUGGCCGGGUGUUGCGCUCCACAAGAUCGUGACAGCCAUUGGAGGCGGUGUAUCGGUUACUAAGGCGCGGCCUUAGAAGGCUGUAGUCGGGCCGUGAACGUCAUCUCCAUUCACUAAUCGAGUUAUCCAGCGCCUCUCAUCGAAAGAUCAGGCGAAAACCCUAGUGGGUUCACAUCAGUUGGUAUCAAAGCAAGGUUUAUCGGUGAGAGAUUUCCAAUUCUUCGUGUUUGUUUUUCCUAUAGUCCAAAAAAAGCCAAAAAAUAUAGCAGAUUUGUUUUCCAUAAUCCUAUAAAUCCUUUGUGUCGUGGCUAGUACUACUUAGUUAGGGCUGGUUGAAUGAGUGUUUGCUUCGGCCGUGUCCAGUGCUGGUUUUAGUUUAGUCCUUUAGAGUUUUGAGUUCUUGUCACCAUCUAGUCACAACUGCGUCCAAUCUAUUGUGGGUUGAAUUUGAGUAGAUCUUGAUAAUAGGUGCAGCCACUUGUUGGUCUAUUCUGCGUUUCCAUCAACGUGAUCCAAAAGGAAAGAUAGCACUUCAUACUUGUGCUAGAUAUAUUGAAUUUUGAGGUUCAGCCUUACUCUAGUGAGAGGGUGAGAGUGGUGAAGUGAUAUUUUGUACUAUUUUGUUUAUAUAAUCAGGUUUUGAGGUUCCCCAAAAAAAAGAAAAGAGAAAAAAAAAUAAAGAAAAAAAAAGAAAGAAAGAAAGAAAAAAGAAAAAAAAUCAAAAAAAGGGGAUUGUUGUUCCUUUUGUUUCCAGUAGGGCUGCUCAUUUUGUUUCUAGUGGUGUGCUGUGUUUUCCCUUUGUGUCCAGGCUCGCGUCUCUAGCACGGUCUAGGCUAGGACCAGCACAGUACCACCGUUGAGCGUUUAUUCAACUUGCUUUUUAUAACUAACGUGGUGCUAGUUCGAUCCUUGUUUCAGCCCACCUAUAGCUCCACAUAUUCUACAGCUUGAUAGGUUUUGUUGCUGCAGCACCGAUACACUUCGUCCAUUGCUGUGGAUUUGUUGGUAGCCAAUCCCUCCUGUUGAGCAAGGUAAGAAUUGGUAAGAACUUGUUAGACAGAUUGAUAGAGAGCGUCUUACAGUAGCCACAUCCUAAUAGCUGUAGGGUUUUUAUUUCUUCACCUAUUUUUUUUGUUUCCACUGUGUGUUUUUUUAAACCAUGUCAGAGACAGAGGAUACCAACAAAAUUCCACAGUCACCUCGCACUAAGGGCAUCAUAUAACAUUUUGAAAGGCAAGUGAAGCUACACACAGAAGGGCUUGAUGACAACUUGAAGGUGACGAAUGACAAGCUUGGGCAGUUGGAGGACACGCAGAUUGCCACAAACAACAAGAUUACAAAGAUGGAGGCAUCUAUUACUAGUAUGGAUAAAAGUCUUGCUGCUCUUCUCAAACGCUUUGAUGACUUCCACACAAUGGACAAAGAGAAGCAUAAGGAAGAAAACAAGGAGGAAGACCGAGUGGGUGGCAAUUAUGAUGAUGAUUACACUGCUGAUACGGAACGAGAUGAUCAAGACACUCAUCAUCGACGUCGCCUACGUCACACCUGUAGAGGUAUGGGUGGCCACCACCGACGCGAGGUACACAAUAAUAAUGAUGCUUUCAGUAAGAUUAAAUUUAAAAUACCUCCUUUUGAUGGUAAAUAUGACCCUGAUGCAUACAUUAAUUGGGAGAUUGUUGUUGACCAAAAGUUUACAUGUCAUGAAUUCCCUGAGGAUACACGUGUUAGGGCUGCAACUAGUGAGUUCACCGAUUUUGCUUCCGUUUUGUGGAUAGAACAUGGCAAGAAAAAUCCUAAUAACAUACCUAGAACUUGGAAUGCGUUGAAACAAGUCAUGAGGGCUAGAUUUGUUCCUUCUUACUAUGCACGUGACAUGAUUAAUAAGUUGCAGCAAUUGAGACACGGUGCUAAAAGUGUAGAAGAAUAUUAUCAGGAAUUACAAAUGGGUAUGCUGCGAUGUAAUUUAGAGGAGGAAGAAGAACCUGCUAUGGCUAGAUUUUUGGGCGGGUUAAAUCGUGAAAUCCAGGACAUCCUCGCUUACAAAGAAUACAAUAAUGUAACCCGUUUGUUUCAUCUUGCUUGUAAAGCUGAAAGGGAAGUGCAGGGACGACGUGCUAGCGCAAGGAGUAAUAUUUCUGCAGGGAAGGCUAAUUCAUGGCAGCAACACAUGGCUUCAACUCCAUCUACACGUAUUUCUACUCCAUCAUCUAGUGACAAGGCUGGAGCUGCCCCCACCAAUUCAGUUGCGAAGACGAUGCAAAAGCCUACUGCGAGUACUUCAUCCGUGGCAUCGACGGGUAGAACAAGCAACAUACAAUGUCAUCGGUGCAAGGGAUGUGGGCACAUGAUGCGUGACUGCCCAAACAAGCGAGUUAUGAUUGUCAGGGAUGAUGGUGAGUACUCAUCUGCUAGUGAUUUUGAUGAGGAUACACUUGCACUGCUUGCGACUGACCAUGCAGGUAAUGAAGAUCAAAUAGAAGAACAUAUUAAUGCAGGUGAAGCGGACCACUAUGAGAGCUUGAUCGUGCAGCGAGUGCUUAGUGCACAAAUGGAGAUGGCGGAACAAAAUCAGCGACACAUUUUAUUCCAAACAAAGUGUGUCAUCAAAGAGCGUUCUUGUCGCAUGAUCAUUGAUGGAGGUAGCUGCAACAACUUGGCAAGCAGCGAUAUGGUGCAGAAGCUUGCCCUCAACACCAAACCACACCCGCAUCCCUACUACAUCCAAUGGCUGAACAACAGUGGUAAGGCAAAGGUAACUAGACUUGUGAGAAUUAAUUUUUCCAUCGGAUCCUACAAAGAUAUUGUUGAAUGUGAUGUUGUGCCUAUGCAAGAUUGUAACAUUCUGCUAGGUAGACCUUGGCAAUUUGAUAGAGAUUCUAUGCAUCAUGGUAGAUCAAAUCAAUAUUCUUUUCUAUACCAUGAUCGCAAAAUUGUGUUGCAUCAUAUGUCCCCUGAAACUAUUAUGCAAACUGAUGUUGCUAGGGCUACUAAAGCAAAGAGCAAGAGCAAUAAAAAUGAUAAAUCUGUAAUUGGUAACAAAGAUGAGAUAAAACUGAAAGGACGUUGUAUGAUAGCUACCAAAUCAGAUAUUAAUCAGUUCAAUGCAUCCACUUCUGUUGCUUAUGCUUUGAUAUGCAAGGAUGCUUUGAUUUCAAUUGAGGAUAUGCAAUGUUCUUUGCCCCCUGCUGUUCAUAACAUUUUGCAGGAGUAUGCUGAUGUUUUUCCAAGUGAGAUACCGGCAGGGCUGCCACCUAUACGUGGGAUUGAGCACCAAAUUGAUCUUAUUCCUCGUGCAUCUUUGCCAAACCGCGCGCCAUACAGGACAAAUCCAGAGGAAACAAAAGAGAUCCAGCGGCAAGUGCAAGAACUCCUCGACAAAGGUUAUGGAAUUGAGGUUGAUCAAGCCAAGGUAGAAGCUAUACAGGGAUGGUCUGUACCAAAGACAAUCACCUAGGUGCGGAGUUUCUUAGGACUUGCUGGGUUUUAUCGCCGUUUUGUGAAGGAUUUCAGCACCAUUGCUGCACCAUUGAAUGAGCUUACAAAGAAGGGAGUGCCUUUUGUGUGGAGCAAAGUACAAGAGAAUUCCUUCAACAUGUUAAAAGAUAAGUUAACACAUGAACCUCUCCUACAGCUUCCUGAUUUUAAUAAGACUUUUGAGCUUGAGUGUGAUGCUAGUGGUAUUGGUUUGGGAGGUGUUUUGCUACAAGAGGGUAAACCAGUUGCAUAUUUUAGUGAGAAAUUGAGUGGGCCUGUUCUGAACUAUUCAACUUAUGAUAAAGAAUUGUAUGCUCUUGUCCGAACUUUAGAAACAUGGCAACAUUAUUUGUGGCCCAAAGAGUUUGUUAUUCAUUCUGAUCAUGAAUCUUUAAAACAUAUUCGUAGUCAAGGAAAACUAAAUCGCAGACAUGCUAAGUGGGUAGAAUUUAUUGAAUCCUUUCCUUAUGUUAUUAAGCACAAGAAAGGGAAGGAGAAUAUCAUUGCUGAUGCUUUGUCAAGGAGAUAUACUUUGCUAAAUCAACUUGAUUACAAGAUUUUUGGAUUAGAAACGAUCAAAGACCAAUAUGUUCAUGAUGCUGAUUUUAAUGAAGUGUUGCUGCGUUGUAAAGAUGGAAAAGGAUGGAACAAAUUCAUCGUUAGUGAUGGGUUUGUGUUUAGAGCUAACAAGCUAUGCAUUCCAGCUAGCUCUGUUCGUUUGUUGUUGUUACAGGAAGCUCAUGGAGGAGGUUUGAUGGGACAUUUUGGAGCAAAGAAGACGGAGGACAUACUUGCUGAUUUGAAACCAUAUUUGGGUGAGGAACAUGAGCUUGAGUCGAGGACGACUCAAAUCCAAGAAAGGAAUGAUGAUGAGGACAUCAACACCAUCGAUAUAUCCGCACCUACACCAGUUGGUCCUCUUACUCAUGCUCGUGCCCGUCAACUCAACCUUCAAGUAAGUUCAGUUUUAAACUCUUGUCAAUCAUAUUUAGACAAUGGAGACACGUGCACUUUCGUGUUGCUCAGGAAUAAUGGACAAGAUCAGCAAGGGAAGGUUCAACUGCAUUCGGAAUUUGAGGCAACACCAACUUCAAGGGCUGAUUGCAUAUGGGAAGAGUGAUAACUUAACAAAGGUGAUUGGAGAUCAAGUGCAAGCCUCCACAACAUCCUCUAUCAAGUUACCACGUCGCUUCUAAAGCAAAGAAACAAAGAGUCCAAACCCAACACGUUUUGGGAGUUGGAUUCGGACUGGAAAAUAACUCUACAUUGUAUGGAUCACCACGGCGUCAUAUGGACUCCAACUGGGACGUUCCUAUACUUGUUGGAAAGCUCAUGAAGUCUACUUUCCAAUGGGUCCAACCACAUAUCUAUGCAGCUUAUGAGUCGGGCGCAGUCCUUGUUUUUGUGCCGACACCUUUUUCUGUUUUGGUGCUGCGUCACCCUAUUUUGGACCAAUGGCCCAUGUAUCAAGUUGAGUCCAUUAGGGACGCGUCCUAGGGUUGGAGGACGACUCUAGCACCCCUUUGGUCGUCCUCCCCUCUAUUUAUUUACAUCUAGAGCCGCCAUAAAUAACUGGGUUUUGAUUAGAUAAAGUUUAGCCUUCGCUACUUGCUUGUAAACGCGCGUGCUGAUCCAGCCGCCCGUCUUCUUUUUUUCGAAACCCCACUUCAUUAGAGAUUGAGUUUGAAACCUUCAUUUACAUAUAGUAAUUUAGUACUUGUUCUACUUGUUCUUGCUGGUUCUUCGAUUGCUUGCAGGACGAGUGCCCUAGUGGCCGGGUGUUGCGCUCCACAAGAUCGUGACAGCCAUUGGAGGCGGUGUAUCGGUUGCUAAGGCGCGGCCUUAGAAGGCUGUAGUCGGGCCGUGAACGUCAUCUCCAUUCACUAAUCGAGUUAUCCAGUGCCUCUCAUCGAAAGAUCAGGCGAAAACCCUAGUGGGUUCACACCAGGUGCCUCCAUCUUUCCUACGCUUGACUUGUUCUGAAGCCAUGGUAAACCAUAAUAUUUGCAGCAGUUACACGGCUCUUGAAUCCCAAGUGCCUCAUUAGUUCCAUCUUUCUUAGCUUUCAUGUUCUUCCAGGCUUCUACUACUUAUCUCUUCAUUGCUCCUUCCUGAGUUUUGGUGAUGGUCUUCUCUGAAGGUAGCUGAGAAUCUUUCUGUGGUUCUACUCCACCUAGUGCUUGAUCCUGCGUAAACAAGGGCUUCUCCUUGUUUACUAGGGACAAGGGUAGCAUAGUUGGGUCUUCUUGACAUUUGGUGUAAGCUUCUUCAAUGUCACCUUGGAGAAGUAAAGAUUGUACUGUCAAAAGAUUUUGGAGUCUGGCCAUCUGAUUAGCUGCCAUCUCUAGGAUUUGGGAUGCCAAGCUAUCAUCUCUUCACUGCUCAAUUGUGUUAUAGAAGUCAUUUGCUGACUCUGAUCACUAGUAUUCUUUCCUUUGACAUCAUCACUGGUGUCGACCAUCUGAUAAUAUGUAGUAGAAUGAGCUAGAGUAGUAUGGACAAAGAGCAUGAUUGAAGUGAGAGAAAAUAGGUGGAGAGGAUCAAGAUUGACAAUAGAUAUGGAUAGAAUAAGAGAGAUCACUACCCCACUUAACAAAGGUCGAACUAAUCCCCAAACGACUUCUUCCAAACCUCCUUCAAACAUAAGAGCAAGGAUACACAUAGGCAACAGAACAUGCAAGACAAGCAUGCAAUACCAUAUGCUUGGAAAUCAAUUUGGAUGCACCUGAUGGAACUCCUUGAUGAUGUGUGUCAUAUGGAAUCUCGCUUUGGUCUGUUUAUAAACAUUGUUAGUUUCGGUGCAAGAUAUGUGCAUGGUUUGCACCUAAUGCACCAUAGUCUAAGAAACCAUUUUGGAAGCACCUGUUGGUACAUCGGUGAAGAGGCUCAAGUGGAAGCUCGGUUUGAUCUAUUUGGAGAUAGUGCUAAUCUUGGUGCAAUAUAGGUGCAUGAUUUGCAAGGAACAUACCAUAUCCUUAGAAAUUAAUUUGGACGCACACAAUGGAACUCCCAGAUGACGUGUGUCAUGGAAUCUUGCUUCAGUCCGUUUGUAGACAUUGUAAGUUUUAGUGCAAGAUAGGUGCACAGUUUGCGCCUAAUGCACCAUAGUCUAAGAAACCAUUUUGGACGCACUAUUUGGUAAUCUAGGGUGAAGAGUGUCAAGUGGAUGCUCGAUUCGGUUUGUUUGGAGAUAGUGCUAAUCUUGAUGCAAGAUAGGUGCACGGUUUGCAUGGAACAUACCCAAUGCUUGGAAAUCAAUCUGGAUGCACAUGAUGCAACUCCUAGAUGACGUGUUUCAUACGAAAUCUUGCUUCGGUCUGUUUGGAGACAGUGUUAGUUUCGGUAAGAUAGGUGCAAGGUUUGCACAUAAUACGACAUAGGAGAAGAAACCAUUUUGGACGCACCCGAUGGUACUCCUAGGUAAAAGGCUCAAGUGAAAGCUCGGUUUGGUCUAUUUGGAGAUAGUGCUAAGCUUGAUUCAAGAUAGAUGCACGGUCUGCAUGGAACGUACCAUAUGCUUAGAAAUUAAUUUGGACACACCCGAUAGAACGCCUUGAUGACGUGUGUCAUAUGGAAUCUCGCUUUGGUGUGCUUAGAGACAGUAUUAGUUUUGGUGCAAGAUAUGUGCACGGUUUGCGCCUAAUGUGAUGAGGACAUCAACACUGCCGACACCAGUACCUAUUGCUGGUCCUCUUACUCGUGCUCAUGCUUGUCAACUUAAUCAUCAAGUGAGUUCUUUCUUAAGCUCUUGUCCAUCUUGUUUAGACCUUGGAAACACAUGCACUUUUGUUUUGAUUAGGAACCAAGGAGAAGACCGAAAGGGACAAGGACUCACGUUGGCUGGAUUAGGACUGCAGCAAAGCGCCAACUUGUGACCGUCACCACGGUUGCAUACGGAUUCAGAUUGGGGUGCUUCAGGACUUGUUGGAAAGCGUAUAAAGUCUACUUUCAUACGAGUCUAGUUCCACGACAAUAUAUGUUCGGCAGCAGCAGCAAAGAUCCAAUUACCGUAGAGAGGUCUUGCUGUCUAGGGUGCUGCGCCACCUUAUUUUGGGCUGAUGGCCUAUGUAUCAAGUUGGAUCUAUUAGGGACGUGUCCUUGGGUUAAACCACGACCCUAGACCUCCUUUAGUCAUCCUUUAGGGUACUUAAGGUCCCUACAGCCGCCGCCACAUAGUUGGGUUUUGAUUAGAUCAAGUUUAGUCUUCGCUACUUGCUUGUAAACGCGCGUGCUGAUCCAGCUGCCCGUCUUCUUGUUUUCAGAACCCUACUUCAUUGGAGAUUGUGUUUGAAACCUUUGUUUACGUCUAGUAAUUCAGUACUUGUUCUACUUGUUCUUGCUGGUUCUUCGAUUGCUUGUAGGACGAGUGCCCUACUGGCUAGUUGUCGCGCUCCAUAAGAUCGUGACAGCCAUUGGAGGUGGUGUAUCGGUUGCUAAGGCAUGGCCUUGGAGGGCUGUAGUCGGACCGUGAACGUCAACUCCUUUCACCAGUCGAGUUACCCAGCAUCUCUCAUCAAAAGAUUGGGCGAAAACCCUAGCAGGUUCUUAUCAGUUGGUAAUCAGAGCAAGGUUUAUUAGUGAGAGACUUUCAAUUCUUUGCUGUUUUACUUUUCCCAUAGUUCCAAUAAAAAGCCAAAAACAGUAGUAGAUUAGUUUUCCCACAGUCCUAUAAACACUUUGAGCCUUGGCUAGCACUACUUAGUUAGGGCUUGUUGUGUUUGAUUUACUUCGGUUGAGUCAAGUUGCUGGUCCUAGGGUUAGGCUUUUAGAGUUUUGAGUUCUUGUCACGUUUUGGUCCUAUCCAUCAUUUUCAUCUCGCUAUCAUCACCACCACCAUAUAUUACAUAUCCACUACACCAUAUUUAUCUCAAUUGCAAUCUUUACUGCCAUAUUUUUCUUUGUUACACCAUAUCCACCAUUACUCACUGAAAAGAAACAAAAAUACUUUGUAAGUUGUUUCUAUUUGGAAUCUGAUUUGUCAAGAUUCAGAUUUGUCCUAGUUUUGCAAAGUAAAGGAAAAGAAGAAGAAAGAGUAUAAAGAAGAGAAAAGAAAAAAAAGAGAACAAAAAGAAAAAGAAAAGGAAAAGAACAGAAAACAAAAAGGAAAGGGGAGUAAUAGGUUGCUGUUGCUAUUCUUGUGUUGUUUCCAACUAUACAGUGACUCUGUUUGUGUCUAGGCUUGCGUCUCUAGCACGAUCUAGCCUAGGACCAGCAUGGUACCACCGUCGAAUGAUUUCUCAACUUGCUUUUGUAAUUAACAUGGUGCUAGUUAUUCCUUGUUUUUAGCCUACCUAUAGCUCCACAUAUUCUACAGCUUGACAGGUCUUGUUGCUGCAGCACCGAUACACUUCGUUCCAUUGCUGCAGACUUGUCGGUAGCCGACACCUCCUGUUGAGCAAGGUAAGAAUUGGUAAGAACUUGUCUAACAGGUUGAGAGUGAGCGCCUUAUUGUAGCUACAUCCUAAUAGUUGUAGGGCUUGUGUUUCUUCACCUAUUUUCUUGUUUCCACUAUUUUUUUAAAAACCAUGUUAGAAACAGAGGAAGUCAACAAGAUUCUGUAGUCACCUCACACUAAGGGCAUCAUACCACAUUUUGAAAGGCAAGUGAAGCUGCACACAGAGGGGCUUGAUAACGACUUGCAGGUGACGAAUGAAGAGCUAGGGCAGUUGGAGGCCACACAGAUUGCCACUAAUGACAAGCUUACAAAGGUGGAGGUAGCUGUUGCUAAUGUGGAUAAAAGUCUUGUUGUGCUUCUCAAGCGUUUUGACGCUUUCCACACAAUGGAUAAAGAGAAGCAUAAGGAAGAAAUCAAGGAGGAAGAACGAGUGGACAACAAGUACGAUGAUGAUUACACUACUGAUACUGAACGGGAUGAUCAAGACACUCGUGAUCGACGUCGCCUACAUCACAACCGUAGAGGUAUGGGUGGCCACCGCCGAUGUGAGGUACACAAUAAUAAUGAUGCUUUCAGUAAGAUUAAAUUUAAAAUACCUCCUUUUGAUGGUAAAUAUGAUCCUGAUACUUACAUUACUUGGGAGAUUGUUGUUGAUCAAAAGUUUGCACGGAAUAAAUUUCCUGAGGAUACUCGUGUUAGGGCUGCUACUAGUGAGUUUACUGAUUUUGCCUUAGUUUGGUGGAUAGAACAUGAUGCGAACCCGCUAGGGUUUUUGCCUGAUCUUUUGAUGAGAGACGGGGAUAACUCGAUUGGUGGAUGGAGAUGACGUUCACGGCCCGACUACAGCCCUCAAGACCGCGCCUUAGCAACCGAUACACCACGUCCAACAGCCGUCACGAUCUUGUGGAGCGCGACAACCAGGCCCUAGGGCUCCCGUCCUGCAAGCAAUCGAAGAACUAGCA